AACGAACGCUGGCGGCAGGCCUAACACAUGCAAGUCGAACGCUGUAGCAAUACAGAGUGGCAGACGGGUGAGUAACGCGUGGGAACCUACCCUUUGGUUCGGAAUAGCUCAGGGAAACUUGAGGUAAUACCGGAUACGCCCUUCGGGGGAAAGAUUUAUCGCCAAAGGAUGGGCCCGCGUCGGAUUAGCUCGUUGGUGAGGUAAUGGCCUACCAAGGCGACGAUCCGUAGCUGGUAUGGGAGGAUGAUCAGCCAGACUGGGACUGAGACACGGCCCAGACUCCGACGGGGGGCAGCAGUGGGGAAUAUUGGACAAGGGGCGCAAGCCGGAUCCAGCCAUGCCGCGUGAGUAACGAAGGUCUUCGGAUUGUAAAGCUCUUUUGGCGGGGAAGAUAAUGACGGUACCCGCAGAAUAAGCCCCGGCUAACUUCGUGCCAGCCGCCGCCGUAACAC
rnacentral:rRNA from 1 species